UAUACAACUUGCCUCCACCGGAGGCCAAACACCUGUUUACCUAUCUCCAACAGCUCGGGGUGAGGACCGAUCUUGACGCUUAUUCUCAGGAAAAGGCUAUCGAUGCUACCGACUCCUUCUUCAAACAAGUCAGUGAUUGGCGUCAACCUACGAUAAUCGGUUCGAUCGCCUUUACUAUUCUGACGGAACUCCGUAAAUCUAAGGAGAUAAACGAGGAGAUUAUUAGAAAAGUUGUUCAGUUCUACCCAAAAGUCCCGGGUGCGGAGGAGGAGGAGGAGGAUGAAAUCGAGAAGUUUGCUGCGGCUUUAGGGUCGGAGGCCGAGGAGGAGACGGAGCAGGAGCCGGAGGUUGAGGAUCUUCCUGAUCCCGAGUGUGAUGAUUUUGAUUUUGAUUUAGUAGGAGACUGCAUGGAUAGGGCAAAUGAGGCAGAACCGACAGAACAAGACAGGAAAGAGUUGUUGAAACAGUGCAGUGAAAUGGGGUGCCGAUUGAAACAAGGCGACGAACAGAAGAUCCUCGAUCUGAUGAUUCCUUUCUUGAGCAGCAAUUUUACACGAUUCUCAUCUGAUAUAACUGAUCGGACAAUCUGCAUCGAAACAUUCAUGGAACAUGUCCAAGAUUAUAUCAAUCGUUCUAGCUUGCAUCCUGAACGACUUGGGGACGGUGAACCGCGCCAUUCAGACUGUGAAUAAGUUAAUGCAAGUAGAAGAGAUUGGAAAAAGGAGCAGCAUCAGAGUGUCAGCAGAAUGUUAAAGAAGGAUAUCGUAUUAACUAAAGAAGAAGGGAUUGCUACGCCCAUAUAUCUCUUAAAACAAGAAGAGAAAAGAGAACGUGGAGAUAUGGAACUUGACGAAUCCAAAAAAAGAAAAUAUGUGGAAUGUUAAUUUCUGUCUCACACAGCCAGAAUCUGAAGGUAUGGAAACUGAAGAAUGUGAGUGUGUGACAAGAUGGGGAGAAGGAUUGAUCACCAUUCACCAAUGAGGAGCACUGUUAGUUUAUGGUUCAGACGUUUUUUGGUUGUUAUGACUUAUGAUAAUAAGUUGUACUGUACUUGCAUUAAUGAUGUGCUGGAAUGGAAUGCUUGGUUAGAUAAUGGGUGCACCUUUAGUCCCUUUCUAUUUGGAUCACCAGUGAGAUCUUUGUUAGUUUAUGGUUCAGACAUGUUUUGGUUGUUCUGAUAAUAGGAAGUACCGUACUUUGCAUUAUGAUAUUUUGGAGUGGAAGUUAGCGCUUAGUUAGAUAAUGGGUGCACCUUUAGUCCCUUUCUAUUUGGAAUAUUUACCAGAUUCUAUGAACAACACCUUCUUGUUAUAGCAGACUAUAAGUGAAA